AAGUCGUAACAAGGUAACCGUAGGUGAACCUGCGGUUGGAUCAUUAACAAUGAGGAUCGCGGCAUGGUUCCAUGUCUCGGUCCGAAAUGGUAAUUCCAUACCAACCCACUUUGUGCACCGUUUCGUCUCUGGCGGUCGUAAGAUGCGGGGAAGGCUGUCUCUCAGUCUAUCCUGCUCUUCUAGUCCAUCUGUCUUUGUUGAACAGGUGGAUGAAGCCGUCUUGUUUACCCCACACAGUGCUUUUGAUUUCCUUGUCUGUCUGACUACGUUUUGUAUGAAUGUACAAAAAACAACUUUUGGCAACGGAUCUCUUGGCUCUC
rnacentral:misc_RNA from 1 species